GGGGUGGUAGUUCAGUCCGGUUAGAACGCCUGCCUGUCACGCAGGAGGUCGCGGGUUCGAGUCCCGUCCACCCCGCCA
rnacentral:tRNA from 1 species